rnacentral:lncRNA from 1 species
AGCCACUCCUGUGUGUUAUUGAGUCAUAGUAACUUCAGGAACAACAAGAUUUUUUUGUGUGUUGAAGUGCUCUGUUCAAGGAAAGAAAAAAUAAAGAAGCUGAUUUUUAAUGCAGAAGCAACAUUUUGGAAGAUAUUUGGAAGGUGAAAUUUGGAAGGGCAGAAUGUGAGUAUAUCUAAGUCCGAAAACAUCCUACAGAAAACUUCAAAAAACAGUGAAGUCCAUGGAAGUACCUUAACCGAACUGGGAUCUACGAAAGAGACAACUGUGAGAGCAGAUGAACAACCUUGAGUUUUUUGCAUUCAUCAAUGCAUCAAUGCAAGGCUCAGCUCCUGGGUGAGGGAGAAAAUGAGGAAAAAUGGUACCCGUGGUUCUUCUCUGCUUCUUAGGCACCACCAAUAUGUUUGGACUUCUUCUUCUUCUUCUUUUUUUUAACGAUACCACAGAGUUAUUACUUUUCAUGCAGAAAAUGAGUACAGAAUGAGAACUCAGAAUCACAAUGAUUGAGGCAAUCUGAUCAAUUUCCCCCUGCUCAAGCAGAGCCAUAUAGAGCAGGGUGCCUAGGAUAACAUGCAGAUCACAGCUAAUAUCUCUAUAAUGAAUAUAACGAUAAAUCAUCUCACUCUAUUGAAGGUCUGUUUCAGAAAAUAUUUGUUCAUUAAUUUUCUUAGCAAUAGAGGGCCUUCUACCUUUCUGGUCAGAUAAAAACCUCUGAGGAUGCAAGUGGAAGUGAGAACACUGCAAGUACUAAAGCAGUACAUUUUGUGGCUUCUUGGAAGUAGCUAGAUUUAUGAAAAUGCUUGCUUGCUUGCAGAUGUGUUCUAAGUGGCACUGCAAAAGCCAUGAGCAUAGGUUGGGUACCAUAUCCUCACAUUUACCAUGUGCCUCACAUGUGUUUCUGGGCUAUGCUUAGGCCUCUCACUCCUUAGGUCUGAGUUGAUGUCCUUCGCUGUCUCUCUCCUGACCUAUUGAAAAAUUAUGAUCACUGAUAGCUCUUAGAAACUUCCACCCAAUUGGCAGUGCCUCACCCUGCCUCUGACUUUGGCCCACUGCCUUUUGUUUUUGAUUAAAUAUCAUUAAAAGCUGCUAGAUAGCACUUGCAUACAUUGCUUCACACACCUAUGCAAAAACGGCAGGUUAUGCUUUGUGGCAGUUCACUUUUGAGUUGUACCUUAUUCCUGUUCAGAUAAUAAUUCUCUUUUUUUUUUCUUCCCUUUUAUUUUCCUGUGAUAUAAUCUAAAAAUGUGGCACCCUGCAAUGUUAUUGGAGAUUAAAUUCUUAAUUAUGAAUUUCCUUGCUUUUGUGAGUU